CUGACGCUGAGGCACGAAAGCGUGGGUAUCGAACAGGAUUAGAUACCCUGGUAGUCCACGCAGUAAACGAUGAUAACUAGUUUUCCGGUCCGAUUGAGGAUUGGGAGACCGAGCGAAAGCGUUAAGUUAUCCACCUGGGGAGUACGCCGGCAACGGUGAAACUCAAAGGAAUUGACGGGGGCCCGCACAAGCGGAGGAACAUGUGGUUUAAUUCGAUGAUACGCGAGGAACCUUACCCGGGCUCAAACGGCGAUGGACGCACCGUGAAAGCGGUGUUCCCUUCGGGGCUGUUGCCGAGGUGCUGCAUGGUUGUCGUCAGCUCGUGCCGUGAGGUGUCGGCUUAAGUGCCAUAACGAGCGCAACCCCCAUCUCCAGUUGCCACCGCGUCAAGGCGGGCACUCUGGAGAGACUGCCGGCGCAAGCUGCGAGGAAGGCGGGGAUGACGUCAAAUCAGCACGGCCCUUACGUCCGGGGCGACACACGUGUUACAAUGGCGGGGCACAGCGGGGCGCCACAUGGCGACAUGGAGCCGAUCCCGAAAACCCGUCUCAGUUCGGAUCGGAGUCUGCAACCCGACUCCGUGAAGCUGGAUUCGCUAGU
rnacentral:rRNA from 1 species